rnacentral:rRNA from 1 species
CCUACGGGUGGCAGCAGUGAGGAAUAUUGGUCAAUGGGCGCGAGCCUGAACCAGCCAAGUCGCGUGAAGGAUGACUGCCCUACGGAUUGUAAACUUCUUUUAUAAAGGAAUAAAGUGAGGCACGUGUGCCUUUUUGUGUGUACUUUAUGAAUAAGGAUCGGCUAACUCCGUGCCAGCAGCCGCGGUAAUACGGAGGAUCCGAGCGUUAUCCGGAUUUAUUGGGUUUAAAGGGAGCGUAGGUGGGUCGUUAAGUCAGUAGUGAAAGUUUGGGGCUCAACCGUAGAACUGCAAUUGAUACUGGCAGUCUUGAGUACAGUAGAGGUAGGCGGAAUUCGUGGUGUAGCGGUGAAAUGCUUAGAUAUCGCGAAGAACUCCGAUUGCGAAGGCAGCAUAC